rnacentral:rRNA from 1 species
UACGGAGGUCCCAAGCGUUGUUCGGAUUCACUGGGCGUAAAGGGUGCGUAGGUGGCGAGGAAAGUCUGAUGUGAAAUCUCCGGGCUUAACCCGGAAAUGGCAUUGGAAACUGCCUUGCUCGAGGAUUGGAGGGGGGACUGGAAUUCUCGGUGUAGCAGUGAAAUGCGUAGAUAUCGAGAGGAACACCUGCGGCGAAGGCGGGUUGCUGGGCUGACACUGACGCUGAAGCGCGAAAGCCAGGGGAGCGAACGGG